GCGGAUGUGGCGGAAUUGGCAGACGCACUGGAUUUAGGUUCCAGCGGGGUAACCCGUGGGGGUUCAACUCCCUCCAUCCGCACCA
rnacentral:tRNA from 1 species